GUACACGCUGUGACUAGCAUAUCAAUAAGCGGAGGAAAAGAGAACUAACAAGGAUUCCCCUAGUAACGGCGAGUGAAGCGGGAAGAGCUCAAAUUUGAAAUCUUAAAGGGUUUCCCUUUACGAAUUGUAGUUUAAAGAAGUGUUUUUCUGUUGAGGUUUUUGGUAAAAGUUCUUUGGAAUAGGACAUCAUAGAGGGUGAGAAUCCCGUAUUUGACCUUUACUUUCAACUUUGUGAUGACACUUUCAAAGAGUCGGAUUGUUUGGGAAUGCAGUCCAAAAUGGGUGGUAAAUUUCAUCUAAAGCUAAAUAUUGGCGAGAGGACCGACUAGCGAACAAGUACCGUGAGGGAAAGAUGAAAAGAACUUUGAAAAGAGAGUUAAAACAGUACGUGAAAUUGUCAAAAGGGAAGCGUUUUGACACCAGUGUUGUUUUUUCUGAAAAUCAAUUAAAGAAACUGUUUUAUGCUAAGUUGUUUAGACUUUAUCAGCUAACCUGUUUAGUUUUCGAGCUUUUCUUUAAUGCACUUUUUCAGUUAACAAGUCAACAUCAAUUUCUUUUGCUGUAAAAAAAGCUUGAGGAAGGUGGCUUGAGAUUCGUCCUUAAGUGUUUUAUAGCCUCUUGCCUAUGCAGUCGGAGAGAGUUGAGGUCUGCAGCGUAGAUCCUCCGGGGCUAAAUGCAUUUGUGCUAAGUUAUAGCAUUUUAUAGACAACUUGUUGACUAUGAUUUGUCUUGUAGCUUACUCGCUUAUGUUAUUUUACCUACGCUUAGGAUGUUGAUAUGCAUGACUGAUAU
rnacentral:rRNA from 1 species